GAAAGGUCCUGUAAGAUGAAGAGAGCAGGGACCAGAGCGCACGGAGGGGAACGACAUCUUCAGGGACCGGGACUAGGCUUUCAUAAUGUCAGCGAUGCUGUAUCCGAGCUGCCUCAGCGCAUAUCAUUAAGGUGAUCAGAUCUGUGUAAAGAGUCCACCAGCUUUAUCUAGAAUCCAAUUCGGAUAGCCGCGCUGUUUGAAUCGUGUGCA